CCUACGGGAGGCAGCAGUGGGGAAUUUUGGACAAUGGGCGAAAGCCUGAUCCAGCAAUGCCGCGUGAGUGAAGAAGGCCUUCGGGUUGUAAAGCUCUUUUGUCAGGGAAGAAACGGUGAGAGCUAAUAUCUCUUGCUAAUGACGGUACCUGAAGAAUAAGCACCGGCUAACUACGUGCCAGCAGCCGCGGUAAUACGUAGGGUGCAAGCGUUAAUCGGAAUUACUGGGCGUAAAGCGUGCGCAGGCGGUUUUGAAGUCUGAUGUGAAAUCCCCGGGCUCAACCUGGGAAUUGCAUUGGAGACUGCAAGGCUAGAAUCUGGCAGAGGGGGGUAGAAUUCCACGUGUAGCAGUGAAAUGCGUAGAUAUGUGGAGGAACACCGAUGGCGAAGGCAGCCCCCUGGGUCAAGAUUGACGCUCAUGCACGAAAGCGUGGGGAGCAAACAGGAUUAGAUACCCUGGUAGUCCACGCCCUAAACGAUGUCUACUAGUUGUCGGGUCUUAAUUGACUUGGUAACGCAGCUAACGCGUGAAGUAGACCGCCUGGGGAGUACGGUCGCAAGAUUAAAACUCAAAGGAAUUGACGGCUGAGACAGCGAGGACGACACGAGGGAGGAGG
rnacentral:rRNA from 1 species